UACAGAGGGUGCGAGCGUUAAUCGGAGUUACUGGGCGUAAAGGGCGCGUAGGCGGAAUGGUAAGACUGAUGUGAAAUCCCUGGGCUUAACCUAGGACCUGCAUCGAUGACUGCUGUUCUAGAGUAUUGUAGAGGGUAGUGGAAUUUCCGGUGUAGCGGUGAAAUGCGUAGAGAUCGGAAGGAACACCAGUGGCGAAGGCGGCUACCUGGACAAAUACUGACGCUGAGGCGCGAGAGCGUGGGGAGCAAACAGG
rnacentral:rRNA from 1 species